GUGCUUACUUUGGCAGCACAUGUACUAAAAAUGGAAUGAUGCGAACAUUAGCAUGGCCCCUACGCAAAGAUGGCAUGCAAAUUUGUGAAGUAUUCCGUAUUUUU